rnacentral:rRNA from 1 species
GUUGUACUGCCAAGUGCAUAGCUGGGAAGCUAAGUUUGGAAGGGAUAAGAGCUGAAGGCAUCUAAGCCCGAAGCCCCCCUCGAGAUGAGAUUUCCCUCGAAAGAUAAGACCCCUUGAAGAAAAUGAGGUAGAUAGGCUCAAGGUGUAAGUGUAGCAAUACAUUCAGCUAGCGAGUACUAAUAGGUCGAAGACUUGACCAA